GCCGGGUUGGCUCAGUUGGUUAGAGCAUGGUGCUAAUAACGUCAAGGUCACAGGUUCAAUCCCUGCUUACUGCA
rnacentral:tRNA from 1 species